rnacentral:tRNA from 1 species
GCCUGAUGUUUUUGGCGUCACCUUUUCAUUCGUAAUGCGAAGGUCGCAGGUUCGACUCCUGCUAUCGGCACCA